AUUAAUUAAUUAAUUAAAAAAGGAACAAGUGCAUUCUCCUCUAGAGCCUCCAGAAGGCACCACAGCCCUAGCUUCCUAUUUUAGACUUCUGACCUUCAGGACUCCAGGAGAAUACAUUUGUGCUGCUUUCCGUCACUCAGUGUGUGGUACUUCAUUUCGGCGGCCACAGGAAACUAACACAUCUGUCAUCUCUUUAAAUGAAUCCGAAGACCUGCAGGUAACAGGUGACAUAUUCAAGACGGGUAAAUGAGGGCAGUUUAAUAAAGGAACCGAUUUGAAGGUGUGGGCACAGUUGAAGAAAAACAAGGAAGGAAGGCGAUGUGUCUGUGCAUGGGUGACGUGAGGCAGCCAACACUCCGCGGGACAAGAGGGGCGCCCAGAGAGGGUGGCGCGGAGGGCUUGCAGGCUGGGACAGGGGGUGCCGGUGAAUAAACGUCCUUACCGCUCCCUCCUCCAGGCUCCCCCGAUCUCUGCUGAGGCUGCCCAAAGACCAAGCCCAGCUGCAAGCCACAGGGUGAGGGAACCCAACUGGUUCAUCCUUAGAGAUGGGUCUCACUGGGCACAGAAUGGAAAGGGUAGUCACCCAGCCUUCUCCUACAUCCUGGAUCUUGGGGGCUGGGGGGUGGAGCCAUUCUCCAGCAAACUGCAGUCACCUUGGCCUCUCCCUCAUGCCCCCCCAUCUCCGCCCAGAUUCAACUCUGGGGCGGCAGAAACGCUCCCGACUUCUCCUGAGUCCCCACUGCACCCCCGUGCAGCCAGCCACCAGCGUGAGUGCCCAGUCGUCAUUCUGCUCCUGUGCUUCUGUAUAUCACUCCUGCAUUAUCCCUUUAACCUUUAUAAAGGUUUUUUUUAUUUUUAAAAAGUGAUAAAAUAAUAAAAAUAGUAUCUUACGGUGAAUUCAGUAAUUGGCUUAUUUUGCCUCAGUUUCUGUUUUAUAUCCUGCAUGAGUUGUAUUUAGGAAGCUUAUCAUAAAUGUAUGAAUGUACGUGCACAGAUUCAUAGGAACAUACCCAUACGCGGCAGAUCUAGUUACUUUAUUUUCACUCUGUACAGAAUCUCGCUGUGAAUUGUGAGGAGUGGUGUGCACCGAGAUGUCCUUGGAGGAGAGCGGUCUGACAUCUCAAAGCAUUAAAAAAAGAAAAAGAAAAAGAAAAGCCGAGCGUCUCUGUAGUCUAUUGCAGCCAGACGCAGGAGGAAGAAGAAAACCGCUAGCCAGCAGGAGACGGAGCCCUCUGGCCACCGCACAUCUUCACUUUGCUCUGCGCCCGAUGCCUGGGCUUCUAAGAUUUUACUUUGUCACUGAAGACGCGUCAUCAUUCUUCACUUGAGUCUUUCCAUACAGCAUCAUGAUGAGUAUGUUCCCCUGUCAACAAAAGCAUGCAUAAUUUAAAGUCAAUGGGGAUAUGAGAAACGGCUUCUUAAAUUGGGACAGUUUAGUAACCAGUUGGAAAAGAAAGAAGAUCCGAACAAUUCCUGAGUCUACUCGAGCUUCAUUAGGCUGGAUUCCGUCAGCAGAACCAGUGGACCAGACAGCAUGAACGUUUUCUGAGUCUCCUGUUUCCUCUUGCGUACAAAAUGUGAACUUCGUGAAACACAACAGAAGAGAACAGAACAGCAAGAAGACUGAAAUCUGGAAAACGUCCUUCCUCUCAUUGGCGAUUUGUUGGUUGAUAGUCUUACUUUGCAAAGCCACAUAGUUUACGAAAUCUGUGGGCGCUUCUUUGGGAGACGAGAUUAGGUUAACUGGCCUCCAUCUUCAGGAGGAGAUCCAAGCACCCACGUGGGAAUCAGGCCACCCUGAGCCCCCAUUUCCAGCUCACCACUUCUGGAGAAAGUCAGAGGUCACGUCGUCUAUAGGAGCUUCCUGGUUGGCGGAAGACUUUCUUUGCUGAAGAUGGCUGGGUUCCUGGUCACGUCUCCAGCGGCGGUGGUGUCUCUUGUUAGCAGCCAGCGGUAACAGUGCCCGUGGUGUCAGGGGGUCUCUCCCUGUGUAUGGGGACAUUGUUGUGAUGCUGUUGUAAUGAUGGCCGCCAGCGGUUGUCUCUCUGUCAGCUCCAGGACACCCCCCAGGAGGGAGGGUGGCUCCCCAUCCCUGCCCAAGUGCCUGUCUGCCUCUCAUCUCUGCAGCACGGCCAUCAGGUGUAGAAGGGGUCCUGAGGCGGCUCUUCCCAGGACGGGUGGGACACACAGGUGCUUCAUCUGAUUUCCUGCUGCAUGACAUUCUGCAGAGAGCUCAUGAAGUUUCCGGCAUGCUUCCGAAACACGCCAUUCCUGGUUUCCAGCGCAAAUGUAUUUUCUUCGCUUUUGGAUUACUUUCUUGAUUGAAAAUUGGGAAUGUGGUUGGGGAGGAUGCACAUUUUCCUUUCACCGUUUUAACUGAAAAUCUCGUAGUGUUCACCUAAAAGGGAGACUUCUUCUUUCUUGAUAAACAUAGAACAAAACAACAAAAGGGAGGCAGGGUCCCAACGGCUUCCUAAGGUGAGGGGCAGCAGAUAUCAAGGAAGCCUGUUCUGAAAGGCCCUGAGCCUCCACCCAGGGAAGCAGUGUCUAGAGCUGUUGGGAGCCCAGGACCAACACAGCGCUGACCCCAGGGACAUCAGGCCCCUUGUCACCCUCUCCCAGCCACCUUCCCACCUUUUUCACAGCAAUAGGAAGACCAUCUUUUCACAGUUAGCUUCUAGAAUCCAGAUGACAGCUUCGGACCACUGUUUCAUUUCAGAAGGUUGAGAUCCGAUUUUCACAGGAAACUCAUUCCAGAGUCUCUCCCUUUCAAUUCAGAUCCAAUUAUUGGAAACAAAGAUGCACAUGGCACCUCCUAAAAAAAAAAGCC